rnacentral:rRNA from 1 species
GAAAGAAAGGAGUGGCGAACGGGUGAGUAACACGUGGGUAACCUGCCCAUCAGAAGGGGAUAACACUUGGAAACAGGUGCUAAUACCGUAUAACAAUCGAAACCGCAUGGUUUUGAUUUGAAGGCGCUUUCGGGUGUCGCUGAUGGAUGGACCCGCGGUGCAUUAGCUAGUUGGUGAGGUAACGGCUCACCAAGGCCACGAUGCAUAGCCGACCUGAAGGGUGAUCGGCCACAUUGGGACUGAGACACGGCCAAACUCCUACGGGAGGCAGCAGUAGGGAAUCUUCGGCAAUGGACGAAAGUCUGACCGAGCAACGCCGCGUGAGUGAAGAAGGUUUUCGGAUCGUAAAACUCUGUUGUUAGAGAAGAACAAGGAUGAGAGUAACUGUUCAUCCCUUGACGGUAUCUAACCAGAAAGCCACGGCUAACUACGUGCCAGCAGCCGCGGUAAUACGUAGGUGGCAAGCGUUGUCCGGAUUUAUUGGGCGUAAAGCGAGCGCAGGCGGUUUCUUAGGUCUGAUGUGAAAGCCCCCGGCUCAACCGGGGAGGGUCAUUGGAAACUGGGAGACUUGAGUGCAGAAGAGGAGAGUGGAAUUCCAUG